rnacentral:rRNA from 1 species
GAGUACAGCCACACCACUCUGAACACGCCCGCUCUUCUCUGAUCUCAGAAGCUAAGCAGGGUCGGGCCUGGUUAGUACUUGGAUGGGAGAAAUAGAUCUUGAAUUUU